rnacentral:rRNA from 1 species
CCAAGGAGUUCAGCGUGUACGCGAAGUCAUUGGGUGGUAAAACCCAAAGGCGUAAUGAAAGUGAAGGGAACUUUACGUUUCUGAGGGAGGAUGAGUCGGUUACCCGCAAGGGGCCGCUCCGCACUCCCGGGGCGUCUCUUUCUCAUUGCGAGUGGAGGCGCACCCAGAGCGUACACGCUGAUACCCGAAAGAUGGUGAACUAUGCCUGGCCAGGACGAAGCCAGGGGAAACCCUGGUGGAGGUCCGCAGCGAUUCUGACGUGCAAAUCGAUCGUCGGAGCUGGGUAUAGGGGCGAAAGACCAAUCGAACCAUCUAGUAGCUGGUUCCCUCCGAAGUUUCCCUCAGGAUAGCUUGCGCUCAUGUGAACGAGUCUCAUCCGGUAGAGCGAAUGAUUAGAGGCCUUGGGGUCGAAACGACCUCAACCUAUUCUCAAACUCCAAAUAGAUGAGAACUCCGGCUUUCUUGAAUUUAUUUUUGAAGCCGGGGGCUCGGAUCAGAGUGCCAAGUGGGCCAAUUUU